GCCCCCUUGGUGCAGCCGGUAGCAUGAACGAUUCCGGUUCGACUCCUGUUUCGAAGCUUUAAAAUACUUUAAAGGUUUUUGAAAGGAGAAUUGGAACUAGCGUUUGGUCGCGGGUUCAAGUCCCGCAGGGGGCU
rfam:Candida tropicalis MYA-3404 genomic scaffold supercont3.6, whole genome shotgun sequence.